rnacentral:lncRNA from 1 species
GGCAGUCAGCAUCAAACUUCCCUAUUCAAACAUCGCUUCUCAAAUUUGUGCGAUUGUCCUUUUAAACACUGCGUUUGGAUCUCUGAUAUGGAGGAUAUGUUGUCAUUCUGGGAUGUGGCUAUAUAUUUCUCUGGAGAGGAGUGGGAAUACCUGGGUCCUGCUCAGUGGAAUUUAUACAGGGACGUGACAUUGGAGAAUUACAACAACCUUGUGUUUCUGGGUCUUGCUUCCUCUAAGCCAUACCUGGUCACACUUCUGGAGCAAAGACAAGAGCUUUCAGAUGUAAAGAGACAAGUGGCCAAUUCUAAAUACUCAGGAUAUGUUGUCAUUCUGUGAUGUGGCUAUGUACUUUUCAGCAGAGGAAUGGGAAUGCUUGGGUCCUGAUCAGUGGAAAUU